GGCGGAUGUAGCCAAGUGGACCAA
rnacentral:tRNA from 1 species